AUACAAUAGCAGCUCUUGCAGCCCCUCCUGGCCUGCACUGAGUACCCCAUCGGUGAGGGCCUGGGGCAGCUUUGGAGACUCUAUACAUUAUGGUAUUAGACCAAAAAUGUUCUAAUUGUUGAAUCUAAGCUGGUGGAUGAAUUCUCAGAGCAAAAGCACAAUUGAUGAUGGACUCUAAAGAAUGUACUUUGUAGAGGAUAUAUACCUAGUCCUGUCAUUGUCUGUCAGAGGACUGCAAAGUGCUCUCUCUAUACAGAGAGACAUACACAGAUAUUUAUCAGAUUGUUAAAGGGAACUUCUGCUGCCGGUGAAACAAAAAAAUCAUGUAAACUGUACCUCGAAGUCUAACACUUCUUGAGUGAUAAAACAAAACUUAGAUGCUUCUCACCACAGGCUGGCAGGUUGCUCUUCAGCCAGGCUCUUCC